GCCUUUCUAACACCAACAUCAGGUGGUAGCGCGUCCGCUUUGCAUGCGGAAGGUCUAGGGUUCGAUCCCCUAGUUGUAAGUCA
rnacentral:tRNA from 1 species